AUUUAUAUAAUAUAAAAAUUAUAUUUAACUUCCAAUUAAAAUAUUUAGAAAUCUAAUAUAAAUA
rnacentral:tRNA from 1 species